rnacentral:rRNA from 1 species
GAUGAACGCUAGCGGCAGGCCUAACACAUGCAAGUCGAGGGAGAAGCCCUUCGGGGCAGAAACCGGCGCACGGGUGCGUAACGCGUAUGCAACCUACCUUUCACAGGGGGAUAGCCCGAAGAAAUUUGGAUUAAUACCCCAUAAUAUUAUUGGAUGGCAUCAUUUGAUAAUUAAAAUUACGAUGGUGAAAGAUGGGCAUGCGUCCUAUUAGCUAGUUGGAGUGGUAACGGCACCCCAAGGCUACGAUAGGUAGGGGUCCUGAGAGGGAGAUCCCCCACACUGGUACUGAGACAGGGACCAGACUCCUACGGGAGGCAGCAGUGAGGAAUAUUGGUCAAUGGUCGGAAGACUGAACCAGCCAUGCCGCGUGCAGGAAGAAUGCCUUAUGGGUUGUAAACUGCUUUUAUAUGGGAAGAAUAAGGAGUACGUGUACUUUGAUGACGGUACCCAUAUGAAU